ensembl:lncRNA
UUUCUUUCCUUAUUGCUUUUCAGUUUUAACAGUUUCACUUCUACCCAAAGACUAGAGCCUGUAUGAAAAUGCUUUCAGUUCAGCUGGGCCUCUUCCUAUCUUAUCAAAUAACAUUAGCUUACACUCCAUUUAUACCACAUAUAUCCUUAGAAACUCUCUUAGCUUUUAACCUGCCAUGUAGAUUAAGACCUCAUUACAUUUCAUACUGUCUUCGGCAUGAUCAUGUUACCUAAUGUUAAAGAUUUUGAAGCAACAUAAUCAGCACUGAUACAGAAUGAAAGCAGAGGGAUCUUUCAUCAUAUGGUUGCUUGUGGCUUCAUUUGCUAGAAUAUGCUCUCAGUUCGGUCUGCUCUGCAUUGAUGCAUGUGGUCUGUCUGGACAAAGCUAACUGACUGUUUCUGAAUUUAAAUGAACACAUCCAUGCUCAUAGAUCAACCGUGGGUACCUGAUAAUCCAUAAAUGUGUGCAUAUAUGUACAGACAUGUAUGCACAUACAUAUAUUUAUUUCAUAUUUUAUAAUCUUGAAUAAGCACAGGAAUAAAGUUCUUCUACAUUUUUCUGGCACUUCUCACAAAUCUGUAGAAAAAUGUUUUUUUGGAAAGGAAUAACUGAAAUCAAAUUGGGGAAUGCGCUCUUCUCCUGCUUCAGCGUUUGCAUUAUAGCAGCUACAGGCAACUGUUUCUGAGACUGACAUUUUUUAAUUUGAACAGAGUAAACAAAAGAAAUUGCUGUUAGUCCAGUUUUGUUGAUACGUUACAAAAAUACCAAAGGACUUGUUCUGUUUUCUCGAUCACCACUCCCAUCGCAGUGAAUACUUUUGCUACCAAUCCAGACUUCAAAAUCUACUAUCCCGGCAACAUUUCUGGUCCUCUGUCACAGAAAAUCCUGAGAAAGAGUGAAAAAGAGCUCUCAGUCUUAUACAACACAUGUCCCUUGAGGAUAUGAGCAUUUCACAACAGUUCUGUAUUUGCCUUAAAGACAAGUAAUUUAACUGAAAGGAUGCAGUCCAUUGCUGGCGUGCAGAGCAUAGGCAGGAGCUGCCCACAGCAGCAGCAGGAGCACAGAAAUUGAAUUCAAGUUUUCCAGCAGUUUGACCUGGAGGUCUAACAUUUCUUUUCCCAUUUCUCCUCUGGGUGCUCAGCUAAUCAUCCAUAAGUCUUUGUCAGGGCAUGAUGAGACCUCCCUACAGGAGAGCACUGAUCAACAAUCCUUCAAUGCGUUUCUCCACUUACUUUCACUCUUAAAAUGAUUCUUUCUGUUCCAAAGGAUUAGGCAGUGUAAUGACAUCGUAUCAUUUUCCUCUUAGAAGCACCUUGGAUUGACUAUUUUUUGUGAGGGAUAAAAAUAAGGAUGAAAGAGGAACAGAAGAAAGAUCAGCUCUCCACAGAUGCUUGGUAUAAUCUUCUCCUCUGACAAACUGCCCCUCUCAGCUUAUCCCUCCAAACCAAUCUCCUCCCCUGUGCCAAGGAAGAACUACAAACCCAGCAGGAUGAGGCCCUCCCCUGCCUUAGCCCCAAUAGCCACUCAGAGGGCUUCCCCGUGUCACAUCCGCUGUAAACUCCGCCAUGCUUUUCCUGUGUCUGCACAACAUCUCAGCUCAUUAGGGAGACACGAGAUAGCAGAAGGCCCGAUACGGCUUGCUGUGGAUCUCCUGAGCCUGCGAGAUCCUACUUCCCCUAUCACGCAUGCAUGGGACCCUUCACUUUAACCCAGCCAUGCCUUUUGUCUGAAGGGGAGAGACUAUUUAUGAGGAGUCAUACAAAAUAAACAUGAAGAGUUCACCAUAAAAUAUGACAACCACUUUAAAUAAUGUUGACUUAAUUAAACUUUAAACUUUAUUUAUAUAUUUUAUGGCUGUAGUGUGAGCUCUUCUCGGAUGUUUACUUCAGUGAAAAAUCCAUCAUGUGAGGGCCUUGAAAGGAAUUAAUCCCCUUACCCCUGGCACAGAACUCAGCUCCAACAAUUCAGAUCUAAAUAUUUAGUGAUGGAUGAUACAUGUUUAUAGAACAGAGGGCAGCAUGACAUUUAAAUGGGAUCCGGGGUUGCUAUAGUGAGCGUACAUUGUUGAAAAGAAACGGGAAGCUGAAGCCAUGCCAAUUAUCGGAAGCUGAUAAGUCAGCUCCUUUUUGCCUGAUUUUUUUUCCCUUCCAUCUUUCCCUUCUGGGUUUUCAAAGGCUUCUUCACAGAGGGUUAUGAGCAAUUUUCAGAAGGAAAAGUUCUGCUGACUCUUGUACAUUUGGUAGUGCAUCCCAUGGUUAAACUAAUAGCCUUGUUGGGUGUCAGCCAAAGGUUACAGGCCUCUCAAAAUAUUCUUGGAAAAAAAAAGAGUUUAUCACUGAACUGAAGUUUCUCAUUAGUAACCCUCUGUUGUCUAAUCUGUGAAAUUACAUGAUUAACUCUUUUGCAGAGACAGUUUCAGCCAGAGUUUGCAAUCCCACAGGAAGUUAUUAAAAGUAUCACCAAGAUAAUUUCCCUGCUUUGUACUUGGCCCUCAGGGUAAAGGAAAUACAUCAUUAGACGAGUACUUUAUAAUAAAGCUAUAGAUCACUAACAAUUAUUAAAUGGCUGUCAAGAAUGAUUAUUAUUUUAAAAGUUGAGGACUGUGUAAUUUGAAAAACAAAUAAAAAACCUUGAAAGAAAUUACUUCCUUUGUUUUUGUAUAGAAAUUAGAAACAUGCCCUCUCCCCCAUUCUCUUUGAAGUGAUUGGAAUAUAAUCUUCCUCUGUACACAGCCGUCUUACCUUCAACAUUUCUUUUUGCAUCCCUAAAAAUACUCUUAAGGAAAGCAUCAGCUCACUAUUGAGAUGAAAUACCUCAGGGACACAGAGGAUAGCAGGACUUUAUUGCACAUGUUGAGAUGUUCAUGAGCUGUGAACUCCGGAUGCUUCAAGUCACUGAAGCAGAGGUGGUGGUCCUUGGAUUUUGGUGAAAGUUGAACUCAGGGAUAUUUUGGACACAGAAUACUUUCCAAUCAUGUGUUCUAGCUGAAGUCACUUGCAGAUGUUUUUCAUGAUUUGUUGUGCUUGUUUCUGGCUUCCUUAUGAGCUCCUCCCAGAUCAAUGGGUGCUUUGGUUUGCAUGUUUUGGGAGGAGGGGUGACAGUUAGGAUCUGUAUUAUCCUCCCCAGCUAGUUACCAAGGCUUUUAUUAUUAUUAUUAUUAGUAGUAGUAGUAUUAGUAUUAGUAUUAUUAUUUUAUUAUUGUUAGUGGAAAAGUGGUGAGAAGGAGAUGCCAGCCAUGCCUACACAGACAUCCAGGCUGUGAGAGUGAUCCUGUGAUGCAGUUGUCCUGCAGGGAUGGUGGUGGGAGAUCCAGAUGGAUCACGUGAAAGUCGUUAGAGGUUUGAAAGAUGUGAAGCAUUUGGAACCAUGAACCAAGAAGGGCUUUUCUGGUACUCAAAUUACAUCGAGCCAAACAAUUCUGCACUACAGACAUCAGCUUUAUAGCCAUCAGAAAACAGAUGGAAUUCAAAAUAUAGUAAAUUUGUUCCUCUGAGCAACUAUAAAAUGAAGACGGGUACCAUACACCUGUAAGAAAAAAGUAUUCAUAUUCCUGUGAUAAAUCAGCUCUUUCAUCCAAGUUGAUUUUAGGAAUUAACCACACAUCCUCACAGCUCAGCAUUCAUGGUUUCAUCUCAUUAUGGUGCCUCAGUAUGACUAAUGCAUGCAUGCAGUAUCACCUAGGAGAGCUGAAAUCUAGUCUCAGCUGCAUAAAUGUUCUAUCAGGUCAAGUGAUUUGAUCUUUUUAGGCCACGUUAUUUCUUUCCCUAAUAACUUCUUCCUGACCUUAUGUAAGCCAUGAUCUCCUAAGAGAGAAGUCAGUAAACUGUAUAAACACAAAAUACAUUCAUACAUUUUCAAUAUACACAUAAUUUUUGAAGAAUUAGAAUUUAGAAUGGUGCUGUUCCUCACAACAUUUCAUAUCACUUUCAUUGGUUAAAACUGGUAUCAUUUUAAGUGUUUAAAAUAAAAUUCACUCAUAUCUGCUCAUUCUUAUUUUUGAAAAGUGAUCUGAGAAUGGCCUGGAUUAAUUCUUAAUCCUUUCAAAGCUUAACCUAAGAUCUACAUGUCCAGCACUUUUCAUGAAGUUUAAAUAGGGGAGGAAACUUUGUCUAAUUUGGUGUAUUCCUCUAGUUCUAGUUUCUAAAAAUAAAAUGACUGGAAGCCAUCCGUGCAAGAUACGGUAACUCAGGCUCUGUAACCUUGCAUGAUCUGCAAAUGGAAGAGAAUUAAUUUUUGUGGCAAUUUGUAGUAAAGAAAGGAGAGAGAAAAUUUUCUCUACUGUCAUUAGCUGAUUUAAAAAGAGUUGACUUUUUAUUCUUUCUGCAGAAAAUCUUCAGACACAAAAAAAUCUGGAAUAUAUUCAAAGUUCUUCUGCCUAAAUAAAUUCAACCUAAAUCUUUUGAGGUUACUUUAUUACAAAGGGUGAGGCCUGAAUUUCAACAUGAGGUGAAAACCUUUGAAGAUCCAUCAGAUCUCCAGAGGAGUACUACAGGAUUUGCAAAAGGGAGCUCAGAGAAAUACAUUCCCAAAUAGAAAGUUUUAGCUGUCUAUGCAGGUAUCCAUAAUUCCAUGGAAAAACUUACAGGAGUCUGCAGACUGUAAAACACUGAACAUACUGACAUACAUGCUGCGUGCAUAUCUUCAGAAUAGAAAAGCAUUACUAAAAAAACCUACAAAUGUUAAUACAAAAUCUUUCAGUCGUGGCUCUGUCUUUGAACUGGGAUUUUAUAGCAUAGAUCUCUGAAACUGUACAAGAUAACCAAAUGUGCACUUCAGAGCAGAUCAGAAAAACAGUAUCUAUCAACACAAUUCUGAUUUGGGGGAUGAAUUAAGUAUGCAAUUUUCUUCCUGCAGUUUCUCAUUCUCAGGAGUUGUACUCUCACUGAAGUUGUGAAACAAUGGGGAAACAUUAAUUCAUAUAAUUAGAGAUAUUGCAACUUUAUGCAUGCGAGAGAAUCAAUGUAAUUAGAGACCAGGAAGACAUCGGUUCUUGCAGAUGAAUGUUUCCAUCAACACACAGAGCAGGUAAUACCUCAUUCUGCCGUUAUCUACUGUGCAUCUGAUACUUCCAAGAGAUAUAUAUAAGUGUACUUUUGAUUUUACUGUUGUUUACAUCUUUAGAUCUCUGGGAGUAGCUGUUGUUUUGUUUUCUUCUCAAAACCAGUUUGAUGCAGCUGACAAUUGAGCUUCUUUCUGCACUAGUGACUCAUUUUCCUUCUUUCUCUACUGAUUUCCCUUACCUCUAUCAUGCAAGAAAAAGGUCACACAGGUAGAAAAGAUAGCUCCAGCAUCUGAUCAAAGUUGUAUUUUAGAUCACAACAUAACUCUUGCAGGAGAAAUCUUGUGUAACUCUCUUUUCACUAAAAAAAAUAUGGCCCCAUUAUAUUUAAAUUACUUUUAUUGGUUCCCAUUCUAUUUUGAGAGAUGUUGGCCCUGGUUGUUUGUGUCCAAAAUGCAAUUUAAUCAUCAGCCAGUGAAAGAUUAUGAUCUGUAUGUAUUCGUGGCAUUUGCAAAACAUGAUGAUAACUCUAUAUUGCCUCUUCUGGGAAGACGGAAGAAAGCUCUCCUCUGGAGAUGGAUGUUUCCAACAACAUCUCCCUUCCCUGCCACCAAGUGGCUGCUUUGCAUCGCUGGAGGCAGUAGGAAUACAGCAGAUUGCAACUCAAGGAGAACCUCUCAUCUUCUCAUCACUCUGCUUCAGGUGCUUACUGAAUCUUCUACAGCUGUGCUAACAGUUCACAAACAAAGCUGGGCUUUGAGUGUGAUACCUUCCAAAGAGGAAUGGUUUGGGGCAUUAGACGUAGAAGAAGAAGCAUCUUGUUGCUAAUCAAGAACAUCCUUAUUGCUGUGUGGUCCUCUCAGGUUUAGAGGUCAGAGUUUCCCUCCACAGCAUUCUUGUCUUGACAAAUGAUCGUUGCAGCAACUAGACAGGUCUGAGAUAAACCAGCAAACAUACUAAUGAAGACAAGAACUGUCCUGAGGAAAUACCUCCUAUUAGUUAAUAAGCAGACACAGUGGUCUGGAUUAGGAAGGAACAUGACAACAUUGUUGAAAAUGAAGAUGUGUAUCCUCAGUGAAGCCAAUGAGUCCACAGAAGCCAGGACUGUGUAACCUGCUGCUGCACAUCAGGAUUCCAGAAGAGGAAAUGAACACUACGAAUAGUGAGAGCAAUAAUACACAAGGGGCCUACUUUACUGCUAUUGUUUCUUCUUCUGUAAUACCCCUGGUGAGUUUUCAGAGAUGGCAGGGAGCAAGUGCAACCAUAGUGCAAGUGAAAUUACCAUCCUUACUAUUGACCAAUGAUAGGAGAAAACCUCACAUCAAGAAUGUGCUCAAGUCAUCCAAGAUCAAAUGAAGACUAUCAGAUGAAUAGUUAUUACACUCCUCCCAGGAGCAAAUGAGAGAUGGGAACCCUCAGGAUGGGCAGAGCCAUCCAUGCUGAACACUUGCUGUCUCCAGCCUUGCACAAAAUUAAUGUUACAGACGGAUACCUAUGUUUCUAAAGCCUCGAUGCUGCUAUACUUUAAUAUCUUGAACUAAAUUAAUGGGUGAGACAGCAAAAACAGCCCAACAUCCUUCUUUCCCUUUCUUCUUCCUCUCAAAAAAACACUUAUUUUGGAGUGAAAUAAGAUUAAAACUUGUGUUUCAGUGGAGCUUACCUGAAGCAAGAACAUAUUAGAACUUCUCCAGAAUAAUAUUUCCAUCUUAAGACAUCUAAAAAUGUUAAUUAUUGGACAUUAAUAGCCGGAAAUAUUGCAAAAUAAAAUUGUUAAAAGUCAAAGUUAUGUCAACAAUAAUUACUUUGCUGUCCAGGUAUUAUUCAAGCUUACCAGAAACCUCAAUAAACAAAUAAAAACCACA